GAUCAUGGCUCAGGAUGAACGCUAGCUACAGGCUUAACACAUGCAAGUCGAGGGGCAGCAUGGUCUUAGCUUGCUAAGGCUGAUGGCGACCGGCGCACGGGUGAGUAACACGUAGGUAACCUGCCCAUGUGCCCGGGAUAACUUCUGGAAACGGAUGCUAAAACCGGAUAGGUAGCAGACAAGCAUUUGACUGCUAUUAAAGUGGCUAUGGCCAUGAACAUGGAUGG
rnacentral:rRNA from 1 species